ACCCAAUAGAUACCCGGGUAGUCCACGCCCUAAACGAUGGAUACUAGGCGUAAGAGGUAUCGACCCCUCUUGUGCCGCAGCUAAACGCAUUAAGUAUCCCGCCUGGGGAGUACGGCCGCAAGGUUGAAACUCAAAUGAAUUGACGGGGACCCGCACAAGCGGUGGAGCAUGUGGAUUAAUUCGAUACUAACCGAAGAACCUUACCCAGGUUUGACAUCGAUUGUAAGCUCUAGAGAUAGGGCCCUCCCCACAAGGGGACAUGAAGACACUUGUUGCAUGGCUGUCGUCAGCUCGUGCCGUGAGGUGUACGGUUAAGUCCGCCAACGAGCGCAACCCUCGUCCUGUGUUACCAGCGAUUAAAGUCGGGAACUCACAGGAGACCGCCGGUGUAAGCCGGAGGAAGGUGAGGAUGACGUCAAGUCAGCAUGGCAGUUACGCCUGGGGCUUCACACAUGCUACAAUGGGCGAAACAAUGGGCAGCAAUACCGCGAGGUGGAGCAAAUCCCAAAAAUACGCCCCAGUUCAGAUUGCAGU
rnacentral:rRNA from 1 species